UACAGAGGGUGCAAGCGUUAAUCGGAAUUACUGGGCGUAAAGCGCGCGUAGGUGGUUCGUUAAGUUGGAUGUGAAAUCCCCGGGCUCAACCUGGGAACUGCAUUCAAAACUGACGAGCUAGAGUAUGGUAGAGGGUGGUGGAAUUUCCUGUGUAGCGGUGAAAUGCGUAGAUAUAGGAAGGAACACCAGUGGCGAAGGCGACCACCUGGGACUGAUACUGACACUGAGGUGCGAAAGCGUGGGGAGCAAACAGG
rnacentral:rRNA from 1 species